AUAGAUGACGAGUUUAGCUACUCAUACUAAUAGAUAGAAUGAACUAUAGAAUGUUAUCAUAAACAAUGGAAUUAAAAAGAAGAAGAUGAAAACUCUGAGGAAAUUCUCUGUUUUUUUCCCCGUGUUCUUGUCUUCAAAAUCUCUUUAAAAUAGCCAUCUUUCUCUUCUAGGUGAAUUAGGCUUCAUGUAGGUUUAUGUUAGUCGCCUUAGAAAUUAUAUAAUUGAUCCUGGGUUAUUGGUUUCCGUCAGCUCGUCCGUGGCCGCGGAUUGGACCGCAGAUUUUGCCAAGAUUCCAUCUCAAUGCGCGGCCCAGUGCGCUGUCAAUCCAUGGCCACACACCUGGAGCGGACUUCCCCAAUUUGUUCUCUUUCUCAUUUUUCGACCGUGCUAACCUCCAAUCGGCCUUCCACGCUCCAUAUUGACUCUGAAACACUCUUUAGCUUCCUCAUAGCUCGAAGUGACUCCUGCAAAAUAUAAAACUCUUAAUUAGAGCAUUUUGUUAUCUUUUAACAUUCAAACAUCGAUAAAAUGCGGCUAAAGUAUGGUGUAAAUAGUAUCUAAAUUGCAUAAUUACAGUCUACUAUCAACUUCCUAAGAUUAUUAAAAUACAUCAAACAUAAAUGAUAAGCUUACAUCUUUAAUACAUUAUUCUAUACUUAUAAGAGCAAAGAAGGAAAUGGAGGAAUACCAUUGAUAACUAUGAGAUCUAUCUCUAUUAAUUAAACAAUGACGAUUACAAAGGUUUGCCACCAAAAUCUUGGCUUUUGCUUCGUUAUUGGAGAUCUCCUCCCAUUAUUC
rnacentral:lncRNA from 1 species